rnacentral:rRNA from 1 species
UGGGGAAUAUUGCACAAUGGGCGCAAGCCUGAUGCAGCCAUGCCGCGUGUAUGAAGAAGGCCUUCGGGUUGUAAAGUACUUUCAGCGGGGAGGAAGGUGUUGUGGUUAAUAACCACAGCAAUUGACGUUACCCGCAGAAGAAGCACCGGCUAACUCCGUGCCAGCAGCCGCGGUAAUACGGAGGGUGCAAGCGGUAAUCGGAAUUACUGGGCGUAAAGCGCACGCAGGCGGUCUGUCAAGUUGGAUGUGAAAUCCCCGGGCUCAACCUGGGAACUGCAUCCGAAACUGGCAGGCUUGAGUCUUGUAGAGGGGGGUAGAAUUCCAGGUGUAGCGGUGAAAUGCGUAGAGAUCUGGAGGAAUACCGGUGGCGAAGGCGGCCCCCUGGACAAAGACUGACGCUCAGGUGCGAAAGCGUGGGGAGCAAACA